rnacentral:rRNA from 1 species
UACGUAGGGUGCAAGCGUUGUCCGGAAUUAUUGGGCGUAAAGAGCUCGUAGGCGGUCUGUCGCGUCGGAUGUGAAAAUCCAGGGCUCAACCCUGGACCUGCAUUCGAUACGGGCAGACUAGAGUUCGGUAGGGGAGACUGGAAUUCCUGGUGUAGCGGUGAAAUGCGCAGAUAUCGGGAGGAACACCGGUGGCGAAGGCGGUUCUCUGGGCCUUACCUGACGCUGAGGAGCGAAAGCGUGGGGAGCGAACAGG